rnacentral:lncRNA from 1 species
GGGCCUAAGUGUGUAUGCUUCAUAUUGCAAUUCUCACAGCUGGAUCAUCAACGCGUGACUUUUUAUCAAUUAUUUUUUUUUAUCACUGUUUACAUAUAAAAAUAACUUUCAUAUAAGUGAAAUUUGAUAAGUAAGAGAUUACAACAAUCGAGCGAGGGAGCUUCUCAGUCGAGUGAAGGAUAGGUGAUGUCAAAACAAUCAAGGGAAGGAAGUUGAUUCUUUCCCAAGGCUACUAACUCUGAACGUGGGUUGUUAGAUACUCAAAACUGAGUCAAAGACGCGGUCAGAUUGGAUCAUGACGCAUCACCCACAAUUUGUUGCUCUCAACGCCAACAAUGUUUCGUGAAAUUAGGGUGUGGAUACCAUCUAUAGUGGGGGUUGCACAUAAGGAGCUAGUGUCAACAAAUCACGUCGAGGAGAAGACAACAAAGCCGAAUGUAGGACGCCAUGAUCACACUAACAAGGGAGUUAUCACACACACCUGCGAAAAUUAUCCUAAUAUGGGUUACACACUGCAGGCCAAGUCGUUUGGCUAAUAGACUGUACACUCACCAUAAAUAUUAUUUUCAUACAUUGUAAUUAAAAUAUCAAAUAUAUCAAUCAAACAAACUUAUUUUCGUAAUUUACCCCUUUAUACAUAUGCUUUUAUUUAAUCUAUUUUCUUGCCAAUAUGAUUUCAAUAUCCCGUUUUUCACAAGUAACCAAUCUAAAUCAUGAAUUCACCACCUCACCACCUAAUACAUGUCUGCUAGUCUUCUCAUUCAGAUAAGCUCCUUCAAUUCGUAAACCCUUGCUUUUUUCAAAUGCCUGGUCAGAAUGUUUGCAAGUUGUAUCUCAUUCCGACAUGCGAUAUUCAAGCUCCAUCGUAAUAUGUUGCCCAUAUUUCUUCUCGUGUUCCCAAUGUGUUUCCCUUUGUGCAUUAGUGGCAUUCAUUUUGAUGAAAAUGAUCGAACAACAACAACACUUCCAGCUUCAUAACUUUCCAAAGGGACUUAAAGAAUUCAAAGUUCAAGUCAUUCGGAGUCGGACUCUUGAUAUCUUUAGAAUUAUGAAGCACGUCUAAAACUUCUUUCUUCAAAAAACAUUUUGUAAGAUCUAGAUUUCGGUCCCAUUCAACGGAAGGGAAUCCACUGCAUAUAAUUUUGUCAUUGUUUCAACUGACAUCAUAGGAUAGUUUAGAGAGAGGCUUAAAGACUUCAUCUUAUAAAUGAAGGAUGAUGAAGUCAAGAACCCGAUUGAGUGCCUUCAAUAAAGAAUCCCACUUGUUAUAGUAUAGUAUUAUAUUAAUGUAUAGAUUUUGUUAUAAAGGCCUUAAAGACUUUCGGUCCCAAGGCUCUAACAAGUUAUACAGAAUGAAGUGGAAGUAAUAGAAACCAACGUUCAUAACUCUAAAUAAAAACUACGAAACAGCUCAAACAUGAUCAAAUAACAUUUUUCUAGGAGAAUGGCUAAACUCUUCAUGAUCACAUGCAGGAACCACAAACAUGAUGGAAACUAACUGCUAGCAACUGUUAAAAUGUACGAAAGGUUCCACUGUCGUUUGCAGGCAGAUAUAAGAAGAAGAAAAAAAGACAAAAAACAAGAAUUUUCUUUGUAUAUUCGAAGUUGUUCUUUUCCCAUGAUAAGUGUUGCAUAAAAAUAUUUUAUAUUGGAUUUAUAACAUAUUUUAAUGUUUUAAAUAGGAUGGUGAGAAAUAAGGAUAUUCGUAAGAGGAGGUAAGAAGACGACAUUUCAGAAAAUAAACAUGAGACAUGGAUAAUAUUGUUUUAACAUGCCACUUUGUUCAAAAAAAAAUAAAAUAAAAUAAACGGUCUAAAAUGAAAGUCACAACAAUUCACUUCCUCACAUACAAUAGAAAUAAAAAGAGAACAUCAACGCUUCAUCUGUAAUAACCC